UACGUAGGGUGCAAGCGUUAAUCGGAAUUACUGGGCGUAAAGCGUGCGCAGGCUGUUUGUUAAGCCAGAUGUGAAAGCCCCGGGCUCAACCUGGGAACUGCGUUUGGUACUGGCAAGCUAGAGUACGGCAGAGGGGGGUGGAAUUCCACGUGUAGCAGUGAAAUGCGUAGAGAUGUGGAGGAACACCGAUGGCGAAGGCAGCCCCCUGGGCCAAGACUGACGCUCAUGCACGAAAGCGUGGGGAGCAAACAGG
rnacentral:rRNA from 1 species